rnacentral:lncRNA from 10 species
AAUUGAAAAAUACUGGGGAGCCCAGCACACUCCUGGGUACUACAGCAGAUUACACCAAUUUUAAAUCUUCUCCCUGCCCUGAAGGAUAUAUGGAUACACUCGGUAAUAGAAAAGCUUACCGUCUAGUGGAGAAGAUGCCCCGAUACCCAAUCAACCAUCCCCUCUCCUAGCGUGAGAACAGCCCUAUCUGAGCAGUACUAGAUUUCUUGGACAGUGUGGACCUCAAGAGACAUUUUGCAUAAGAUGUAGAAAGUGGAAGUGAAGCAGUAGCCAUCUUGUUUUUUUAUGCUUGGAAGAUGGAUGCAGGGCUCCAAGCACUGUUGGAACUCAUGCAUGUUGUCACUUAUCCACAAGCUCACCUUGUUGGUGAGGGGCAGCAGCUGGGCUCCUGCCAGAUCCUCCUGCUGCAUCAAUUUCCCUGAAUCCUGGACCAGAUGCAUAUUUAGCUCCAUGAUGGAAGGCACCAGUUUCUCCUUCAUUCAGCUUGCCUUUUCUUCCUCUGCUUCCCAUCCAUCUUCUUUGCCCAGCUGUCUGUGGACUUCAGGUGCCAGCACCAGGCCAGAAACUACAGCUUUAUAUCCAAACUCAGACCUCUUCACCAGUUUCCACAGCACUGUAAGGACAAAUCCCUACAAUUAAGAAAUAUAUAUUUCUUAAUUGAAAAUUAAGAAAUUGAAAAUUGAAAAAUAUAUAUUUACUUAUGUAAAUAUAUAUUUAUAUGUGUAAAG